rnacentral:rRNA from 1 species
GACGAACGCUGGCGGCGUGCUUAACACAUGCAAGUCGAACGGUGAAGCGCCUUCUUUUUUGGUGGGUGUGGAUGAGUGGCGAACGGGUGCGUAACACGUGAGUAACCUGCCCCCGUCUUCUGGAUAACCGCAUGAAAGUGUGGCUAAUCCGGGAUAUUCUGGGUCUGUCGCAUGAUGGGCCUGGGUAAGAUAUUGUUUCGGUGGGGGAUGGGCUCGCGGCCUAUCAGGUUGUUGGUGGGGUGAUGGCCUACCAAGGCGGUGACGGGUAGCCGGCCUGAGAGGGUUGACGGGCUGACAGGGGCGGAGGCACGGCCAAGACUCCUACGGGAGGCAGCAGUGGAGAAUAUUGCACGAUGGGGGGGAGCCUGAUGCAGCGACGCCGCGUGAGGGAUGGAGGCCUGCGGGUUGUGAACCUCUUGCGCCAGUGAAGCAGAGCUGCCUCGUUUGUGGGUGGGUUGACGGUAGCGGGAGAAGAAGCGCCGGCUAACUACGUG